rnacentral:lncRNA from 1 species
GUAUAUGUGCAUGUAUAUGCAUAUUAUGUAUGUGUGUAUAUUCAGUGUAUUGUGUUACUUAUAUAGACAUGUAUGUGUGUAUAUAUCCACAUGUGUACAUACGUGUGUGAUGAGAGAGAGAAUAAAUACAAGGACAUUGAAUACAAGUUAGUCUGGGGAGGAAGAGCUUUACCACCUGGGGAGAAUCUGACAAAGCCACACAUAGAAAUUGAGUAGUAAAGGACCAAGGCAUUCUAAGAGGUAAGACAGGAGAGCAUUCCAGGCACAGGGAGUGUCCAGGCCGUCUGGUCCACUCUCUCCUUUUACAAAUGAGGAAACUGAGACCCAGAGAAGGAUAGGGGCUCUCCCCAGCCUACACAGAUAGUAAACAGCAGAACCAAAUUUCAAACCUAAAUCCUUUGACUCAAAAACCUUUCCAUUAUGUUUCACGUUGGUGCCAUAAAAAAAUUUCCCAGGUACACUUGGUCUGCUUCUUCAGGGACCUUGUGGAUUAUAAAAGCAGCAAGCCGAGAUCUUGGGGUGCAGGGACGCAGUGUGGUCCCACUGGUCGUCUUCUUCUGUUCUCAGCCUAGCCUUUAUCGCGGUGCUAGCAGCUGCUGCUGUUUCCCGCGGGUGGAGGACAUCGGUGGCCCUCGGCGCUUUUCGCAUUGCUGGGCAUGUAAAUGUGCCUGUCCUCCCAUCUCAAGAGCUCUUAUGAAGUCUAUUAGCUGUUACUAUGCCUGGGUGCUGUGCAAUGACUGGGAGUACCAGCAGACUGCGUCACCAGGUGCUUAGACUGCAACUUUCCAGGAAGGUGACAUUUCUUUCAGGCUCAGCUCCCUCCCCAUCCUUCCUUAGCGUGGGGGCUGGGGGAGCUGAAGAGAAAGCCCAAGGGUUGUGAUAUCUUCUUCCCAGUAUGGGGUGAGUCAAGUGUUUGAAGUGAUGGGAAAAACAAGGCAGGGAAAUGGCGCCCCUUCCGUUAGAGAAUAAUACAAAACAAGAGUUCUCCAGAAUGGUUCAUACCUACUUGUUCCUUCUCCUUCCUCCUAAAGUCAAAGCUGAGAAGGGAGUUCUGGAGAAGAAGGUAGUAAGUCAAGGAAGGAGAUAGGAAGGGGUGGCCAGGGGAGGGUGAAGUUCCAUUUGGAUGGAAGGUCAGAAGCACAGCUGCAGGGGAGCUCAUAAUGCUGGGGCAGAAUAUAGUUAUGCAUGUCAAACCAAAAAGCAUUUAUUAAGCACCUACUGUGGAACAUAAAUACAAGCAAAAAGAAAAUCAUUCCUUGACCUCGAAAAGCUUAUGUUCACAUGAAGAAUCAUUACUGUUGUUACUAUUGUCUUAUUCUACUCCAUUAGUAUUCCAUUAAUGUAUUAAAAUAAUCUAUAAAUACGUAAA